UACGUAGGCAGCAAGCGUUGUCCGGAAUUAUUGGGCGUAAAGAGCUCGUAGGCGGUUUGUCGCGUCUGCUGUGAAAACCUCAGGCUCAACCUGGGGCUUGCAGUGGGUACGGGCAGACUAGAGUGCGGUAGGGGUGACUGGAAUUCCUGGUGUAGCGGUGGAAUGCGCAGAUAUCAGGAGGAACACCGAUGGCGAAGGCAGGUCACUGGGCCGCAACUGACGCUGGAGGGAGC
rnacentral:rRNA from 1 species